rnacentral:rRNA from 1 species
CCCUUAGAUGUUCUGGGCCGCACGCGCGCUACACUGACGAAGUCAGCGAGCAUGUCCUACGCCGACAGGUGCGGGGAAUCUUGUCAAACUUCGUCGUGAUGGGGAUUGAUUAUUGAAAUUCUUGAUCAUCAACGAGGAAUUCCUAGUAAGCGCAAGUCAGCAGCCUGCGUUGAUUACGUCCCUGCCCUUUGUACACACCGCCCGUCGCUACUACCGAUUGAAUGGUUUAGUGAGAUCUUCGGAUUGGCGCCACUGCGGCUCAGCAAUGGGCUCGGUGGAUGCCGAAAAGUUGAUCAAACUUGAUCAUUUAGAGGAAGUAAAAGUCGUAACA